UGGGCUUCUCCUACAUGGAAAAGGGAAAAGGAAAGAUUGUGCUUUCGAGUCGGUGUCAACUCCUGGCGACCACAGAGCCAUAUGGUUUUCUUGGCAGAAUACAGGAGGGGUUUACCAUUGCCUUCCUCCCGCGUAGUAUGAGAUGAUGCCUUUGCCGUUGUCGAUGAAGUGAGCAUCUGUCACUGAAGUGAGCAUCUGCCUCCAGCACCUUCCGAUAUAGAGCAGCGUGAGUGCCAGCAGUGAAGUAAAAUCAAGUCACACCAGCGAUUAAUUCGUUUCCCCAACAUCCAACAAUGUAUUUAUUUCUCAGAUCAGCAGAAGGAAUAUAUUCUUUUCAUUCAUUUGCACUUCCAUGCCAUUGUCACAGCUGAAAAGAUUCUUCACAGAGGGAGUGCAUUCCACAGUCCAGGAGCGGCUACAGAGAAGGCCCACCUCUGAGUCACCACGAGACGUACCGGUCGUAACUGGAGACGGACCUCCUCAGAUGACCUUAGCGUGCGGUGGGGAUCAUACAGAAGAAGGCGCUCUCUAAGGGUCUCACUAGUGAAUUCAAGUAUAUCUGCUGCGGUACCCACAAACAUAAGAAGCAGCUGUGACAACUGGUCCCGGGUGAUUUCACCGCCAAUGGGAAGAAGCCAUCUCCCAAUGAUAAGGAACAGUAGAAAGGUCUGGUGGAGACCUAGCAUCCAGAUUGGCUCACACACUGCAGAGAGUGUAUUCAAAAGAACUAAGGCCUGUUGCAAAGAACAAUAAAAAUCAAGUAUCAGUAAAUGCAGGAACUGCAGGAAAAUGGAAAAGCAAAGCUAUAGGUGGCAGGUGAGAUUGUUUCAUAGCCUUUUAAACCCAAUGGUCUGGGCUUGCCUAAACAUUUCAGCACAAGCUCCUAAAAGAAAACAUGAUAUUCUGCCAGUUGGGGCCAAUUGACAUGACUGCUCAGCGAAUGACAGCUGUGGAGAACCAGGUCAGUCCAUGUGGUGCUGGUCACAUGAAGCCCAACAUCAUACGCUGAAUGUAACUCUGCAGAUCAUAUGUACAUAUGAAGUCACCGUAUAGUGGACCUAUUGGUUCAUCUAGCCAGCACUGUUUGCUCCGAUAAGCAAUGGCUUUCCAAGAUCUCAGGCUGGGGUCUUUCCCAGCCCCACUAACUGAGAUUUCAGGAAUAGGACCUGAGAUUUACAGGUAAUCUGCCAUUAAGUCAAAGCCCAAGUUAGAGCCACGGGUGGCCAUAUCCAAAUCUGGACAUGCACCUGUAAUGCAAAGUCCUUGAAGUCAGGGACUGGAGAGAUGCAGCAGACAGAAAACCUACUGCUCUGUUGACCAAGCUAGGAAAAGAGUCCAGGCUCCAAGUAUUUAUAUCAGGCCUGGCCAACCCACAGUUUCAAGAUCCGAUUUUGCCCUCUUCUGUACCUGAAGAGGCCCUGAGGACUGAGCACAUACAGUGCCAGGUAUCUUUCUACUUCAAGUGAUGAGGCUUCUGGUUCAAGUUCAAGAUAAUUGGUUAGUCACUCUGGAAGCUUUUUAGCUGUUGUGUUUUUGAAUGAAUGAGUGAAUGGUCUCUCCCCAUCACUUGACUGCAACCACUCAUAUCAACUUUAAGCAACUGGAAAUGGCAGAGACUGAUUUUUAAAUGAACAAAAUAUAAAUAAUCUUUAUACACCAAGGAACAUUCAUAAUAUUGAAAAGAUAUUAUGCAGGGUCUAUCUAAUAUUUCUUCAGCCAUAUUUUGGAAGUAGAUUCCCCCACUUUCUGAACUAUUUUCCCCGUGAUAAAGAUUAAAAAAUCUUUUUAACGUU